CGGAUUCAGGAGCUGAGUAAUACACUGGAAUUGCACUCAUGUGCCAACAAAGAUAGAAGCCAAGUCUCCAAUGUACCUCUGAUGAGCCUCUCUAAUGCAGCGGAGGAGCUGAGGAGAAGAGACCAAGCUCUGGAUCACCAGAAUAGACUCCUGAAAGACACAGAGCAGUACCAGCAGCGGCUGCAGGAGACUCUCCAGGAGGCAGAACGUGCCAUCCAGGAACAGGGAGCAAUAGAUGAAGAGUUGAUCAUUAAUCAUGUGAAAGCUGUGGAGGCCACCCUGAAUGAGGUAAGAAUUUGAAGUGCUCCCUCUGACUUGU